UGGAUCUUUGCUACUGAGCUCAGUGUUGAUC
rnacentral:piRNA from 1 species